AUUGAACGCUAGCGGGAUGCUUUACACAUGCAAGUCGAACGAGUGGCGGACGGGUGAGUAAUAUAUCGGAACGUGCCCAGUAGCGGGGGAUACCUACUCGAAAGAGUGGCUAAUACCGCAUACGAUUGGAUCGGCCGAUAGCGGAGUAGCUAGUUGGUGGGGUAAAGGCUCACCAAGGCAAAGAUCCGUAGCUGGUUGGUGAGGACGACCAGCCACACUGGGACGUAGACACGGCCCAGACUCCGACGUGAGGCAGCAGUGGGGAAUGUUGGACAAUGGAGGAAACCCUGCUCCAGCCAUCCCGCGUGUAUGAGAAGGCUUUCGGGUUGUAAAGUACUUUUGGCAGAGAAGCGGUAUCUGCAGAAUAAGCACCGGCUAACUACGUGCCAGCCGCCGCGGUAAUUC
rnacentral:rRNA from 1 species